rnacentral:lncRNA from 1 species
ACAAGAAGCCCAUUAUCAGGCAGUUCCGCAAAGACAAGAAGAAUUAUUUCAACAGCAACAAGAGCAAAUGCGGUGUUAUGUGGAUUCCAGUUUAUGUUCCGUGAGAUUAUACAUUGAUGAACAUACUGAGAAUAUGCAGAACAGAUUAUCUAACUGGGAAUCGAACAUGGAAGCCAUUAUAGGUUCAAUGCAGCAAGAUGUCUCUCCC